rnacentral:rRNA from 1 species
AAACUUUCAACAACGGAUCUCUUGGCUCUCGCAUCGAUGAAGAACGCAGCGAAAUGCGAUAAGUAGUGUGAAUUGCAGAACUUCGUGAACCAUCGAAUCUUUGAACGCAAAUUGCGCAUUCUUUCGGAAGGCAUGUCUGUUUGAGGGCACCA